GAUGAAGAACGCAGCGAAAUGCGAUAAGUAAUGUGAAUUGCAGAAUUCAGUGAAUCAUCGAAUCUUUGAACGCACAUUGCGCCCCUUGGUAUUCCGAGGGGCAUGCCUGUUCGAGCGUCAUUAUAACCCCUCAAGCUCAGCUUGGUGUUGGGGCCUGCUGCACUGGCAGUCCUUAAAAUCAGUGGCGGCGCCAUCUGGCUCUAAGCGUAGUAAUUCUUCUCGCUAUGGAGUCCUGGUGGAUGCUUGCCAUCAACCCCCAAUUUUUCUAUGGUUGACCUCGGAUCAGGUAGGGAUACCCGCUGAACUUAAGCAUAUCAAUAAGCGGAGGA
rnacentral:misc_RNA from 1 species